ACAAUCUCUCUCUCUUCCUCGGCCGCACACCUAAUUCUCUCCUCUCUCCUCUCCCCUUCUCUCUGCCAUCAUUUCCGGCCACCAAUUCAAAACAUGCCACCGCCAAUCUAUUUUGGACCCGAUUCCGAUCAAAACCCAAGAAGAUCACUACCAUCCACGCCGCCAGCCUCAUCACGCGACCAUCAAAGUCGCGACGGCGCUGCUCCCUAGCUCUCAUCAAGUUUCGGCCAUUUCCUCAACAUCAGCGUGCUCAGGGCAAGCCGGACAUCAAAAUCCAGAAGCCUCGCCGCAGGCCGUACCUCGAAGGACCCCGCACGUUCCAUCCCCGGAAUCCUAGACCCUGGGUUUCUCCGGUCUUCCUUCUCCAAAUCGAAUCGAGCUCCAAUACCUCCAAGAAUGGAGUCAGUGCCUCUCCUUUUAUCAAAACCAAGGGCCUGACUUCUGAUUUCAACCAAAGCCGCGGCCGGAUUAUCCUAUUCGUUCUGUUCUUUUGAUUGUUGUUCUUGAAUUUCGCACUUGGGAGGAAACAGGGGAAAUUGAAAUGUAAAGGGGAGCUUAUGGUCUUGAUUUCGAUUGAUUUUUAAAGGGAUGAUGAGGAACUAAGGAGGAUUGCAUGAAGUAGCAGAUCAUUAAGACUAUUGUCUCGGUAGAAAUGGUACAAGUAUCUGCAAAGGGAAUUGACAGAGAAGAAGAUGGGUAUUCCUAAUUCAGUAGCGAUCAAGCAGUUUCAAUUGACAAUGGAGGAAGUUGAUGAGCUACUGAAGAACACAUUUGAGGUUAGACCCUAUUUCUCUUUCACGUUUGCUCGAUCUGGGCUCUUAAAGUUUUGAACUUUUGUGAUAUGCAGCACCAGAUAAUGAAACCCUUUACUCUACUCAUUACAGUUUAAUCAUUUAGCUUUUCUUUUCUUUUGGAAAUUACUUACUGCUGAAUUUUAAAUCAGUUUUAUGGACUUGAUCUGGGUCUCUGAUGUAUUGCAUUUUGGGCUUUUCCUCAUAUUUUGGGUUGUUAGAUUGAUUAGCAUGAAGUUCAUCUUCUAUGUUUUGAAGAGACUUGCUGUAUUUAUGAAUUAAUACUCGAUCAAUUUUCUGGCACUCUUCCUUCUGACUUGGUUAUCUGGUCAACUUGCGGACCUUGCUUUGUAGGAAGUGCAAUGAAACAUUCAGAAGACUGGAGGGGAAAUAUCAGAAAUGCUCAAGCUUCAAUCAAAUGUUGUACGAGCACUUAAAUGCAGCUCAAGAUGUAAUUUCUACUUUCUGAAUUUAUAUGAAACGAUCAAAACCCUAGUAUUUUUUUUUCCAAAAGGUGUAGAAUCAAAUGACAUUAACUUUGAAGCAUGGAUGGUUGAAAUGAAAGGCAUAACCUAUCACAACAGCAAACAUGGUAAUCAGACUACAGUUAAAAACUAUAGUUUGAUUCAUUUGUUGGCCUAGAGCGGUCACGUUUCUGAAUUUAUUAUGUGUUUGACUCUAAACAAAACCCCCAAUUCCAAAUUUCGGUUGUUUAAGUUGUUU